AUGCGAGGUAACGUUGUUUCAAGUGAUAUUAUUUAUUGCUAUAAAUUAACAAAUAUAUAUACAUAAAAAUCUAUACUCCAUUACAAAGAAAAAUUAUUUUAGGACAGAAACAACAAUCAGAAUACUACAAGCAGUUAGCAUCAGUAACAAUCAAGAGUAACCAGCGACAAUAUCUUCUUGAAAAUGAUUAUAUAGUACAAUAAAAAAUAAGAUUAUUUAUCGUAAGAUAAUUAUACAAAAUGUAUUUUGAAUGAGUUUUACAA